rnacentral:ribozyme from 1 species
GAAGAUGAAAAGGAAAGAGAGGAGAAAAAAAAGCAUUGGUGGUUGUUCGCCUUUCUGUUGAUCUGAAGUGGGCUAUUUGUUUCUUUUUUCCCUUUUUCUCAUA